rnacentral:lncRNA from 10 species
UCAAAAAAGAAUCCACAGCUAACCACAAAUAAUGUCUUGCUAUGUUGCCCAGGCUGGUCUCAAACUCAGGCUCAAAUGAUCCACCCAUCUUGGCCUCCCAAAGUGUUACGUGUGAACCACUGCACCUGGCCAAAAAUAUUUUACUAAGAAAAAGGAGUCACCUAUUGUAUGAUUCCAUUUAUAUGAAAUAUCCAAAAUAGGCCACAGAUCAGCCCUGGGGUUCAGAGGGAUCCUGACAGCUACUCCUCAAGAUCCUCUCUGUUGUGAUUCAUCCCCCCGGGGCCCUACAGUUUCUCCUUCCUGACUCUUACAUUUCUUUGGAUGGCAUCAUUAUUUACCUGUCUCCUCCCAUAGUUAGGUGCCAAGCACUGUGGAUUCUGCCUCUCAGUGUCCAGACACCCAUUUUCCUUCCCACUGUUCCUUCCCCAUGGAGAAGCCUGUGGCUGGCUGACAGCAGAGAGAGAUGCUCAACUUGGAGAAGGUGUUACCUGGGCCAGGUGGGGAAGGUUUGUUUGCAGAGCAAAGAAGUGAAGGAAGUAUUAACCCUUUGCAUGGCCUCCUGAGAAUCCGACAAGACGUAAAUAGCCAAGAAUAUCUGUGAAACUUCAUCACUGAGUUACAAUAUUUAUCACUGCAAGUGUGUUGUUCAUUGACACUAUAAAGCCAUGUGGAAUUAAGCAGCCUUGAAACACAAAAUGGAGAAAGGCUAAGAGCUGAGAAUUGUUGCCUUCAGGGAAAUACAAUCAAUGUCAAGCAAACAACCACCCCAAAAUGGUUAGCUUUAUCAGCAUUCAGGCCUACAGUGAACG